rnacentral:tRNA from 1 species
GGGUAUAGCUCAGUGGUAGAGUGUGUGCUUAGCAUGCAAGAGGUCCUGAGUUCAAUCCCCAGUACUUCCA